GACGAACGCUGGCGGCGUGCUUAAUACAUGCAAGUCAACUUGACUUUAGAUAGCAAUAUCGAAAAGUAGGGUGGCGCACGGGUGCGUAACGCGUAGGUAAUCUGCCCUGAGGUCUGACAUAACCCGUCGAAAGGCGGGCUAACAUCAGAUGAUAUAUAAUCACGACAUCGUGGAAAUAUCAAAUCUUCGGAGCCUUGGGAUGAGCCUGCGUCUGAUUAGGUAGUUGGCGGAGUAAUAGCCCACCAAGCCUACGAUCAGUAGCUGGUCUGAGAGGAUGAUCAGCCACACUGGAACUGAGACACGGUCCAGACUCCUACGGGAGGCAGCAGUAAGGAUAUUGCUCAAUGGGGGAAACCCUGAAGCAGCAACGCCGCGUGAAGGAUGAAAUACUUUUGUAUGUAAACUUCUGUAAGAUGGGAAAAAUAUUCUCCUCGGGAGAAUUGAUUGUACCAUCAGAGUAAGCCCCGGCUAACUACGUGCCAGCAGCCG
rnacentral:rRNA from 1 species